rnacentral:rRNA from 1 species
GACGAACGCUGGCGGCGUGCUUAACACAUGCAAGUCGAACGGAAAGGCCCUGCUUUUGUGGGGUGCUCGAGUGGCGAACGGGUGAGUAACACGUGAGUAACCUGCCCUUGACUUUGGGAUAACUUCAGGAAACUGGGGCUAAUACCGGAUAGGAGCUCCUGCUGCAUGGUGGGGGUUGGAAAGUUUCGGCGGUUGGGGAUGGACUCGCGGCUUAUCAGCUUGUUGGUGGGGUAGUGGCUUACCAAGGCUUUGACGGGUAGCCGGCCUGAGAGGGUGACCGGCCACAUUGGGACUGAGAGACGGCCCAGACUCCUACGGGAGGCAGCAGUGGGGAAUAUUGCACAAUGGGCGGACGCCUGAUGCAGCAACGCCGCGUGCGGGAUGACGGCCUUCGGGUUGUAAACCGCUUUCGCCUGUGACGAAGCGGGAGUGACGGUAAUGGGUAAAGAAGCACCGGCUAACUACGUG